UACUCGAGUGGCGAACGGGUGAGUAACACGUGGGUGAUCUGCCCUGCACUUCGGGAUAAGCCUGGGAAACUGGGUCUAAUACCGGAUAGGAGCCAUUUUUAGUGUGAUGGUUGGAAAGUUUUUUCGGUGUAGGAUGAGCUCGCGGCCUAUCAGCUUGUUGGUGGGGUAAUGGCCUACCAAUGCGUCGACGGGUAGCCGGCCUGAGAGGGUGUACGGCCACAUUGGGACUGAGAUACGGCCCAG
rnacentral:rRNA from 1 species